CUUGGUCAUUUAGAGGAAGUAAAAGUCGUAACAAGGUUUCCGUAGGUGAACCUGCGGAAGGAUCAUUACCGAGUUCAUGCCCUUCGGGGUAGAUCUCCCACCCUUUGUAUACUAUACCUUUGUUGCUUUGGCGGGCCGCCUAGCUACUGGCUUCGGCUGGUAAGUGCCCGCCAGAGAACCCAAAACCCUGAAUUAUUAGUGUCGUCUGAGUAAAAUAUUUAAUAUUUAAAACUUUCAACAACGGAUCUCUUGGCUCUGGCAUCGAUGAAGAACGCAGCGAAAUGCGAUAAGUAAUGUGAAUUGCAGAAUUCAGUGAAUCAUCGAAUCUUUGAACGCACAUUGCGCCCUUUGGUAUUCCGGAGGGCAUGCCUGUUCGAGCGUCAUUUCAACCCUCAAGCCUGGCUUGGUAUUGGGCGACCUCCCCAAUCGGAGGUGCUCGAAAAUCAAUGGCGGCGAACCCAAACCUUUGAGCGCAGUAAAAUAUUUCGUUCUGCAAGGGGGGGUGACGUCUGCCAACCACAAAUAUUUUCUAUGGUUGACCUCGGAUCAGGUAGGAUUACCCGCUGAACUUAAGCAUAUCAAUAAGCGGAGGAAAAGAAACCAACAGGGAUUGCCUUAGUAACGGCGAGUGAAGCGGCAACAGCUCAAAUUUGAAAUCUGGCUCUUUCAGGGUCCGAAUUGUAAUUUGUAGAGGAAGCUUCGGGCUCGAUUCCGGUCUAAUUUCCUUGGAAUAGGACGUCAUAGAGGGUGAGAAUCCCGUAUGUGACUGGAAAUCGUCGUCCAUGUGUAGCUCCUUCGACGAGUCGAGUUGUUUGGGAAU
rnacentral:sRNA from 1 species